UACGUAGGGGGCAAGCGUUGUCCGGAAUCAUUGGGCGUAAAGAGCGUGUAGGCGGUCCGAUCAGUCGGUUGUGAAAGUCAAGGGCUCAACCCUUGAAUGCCGGCCGAUACUGCCGGGCUAGAGUCCGGAAGAGGUGAGUGGAAUUCCUGGUGUAGCGGUGAAAUGCGCAGAUAUCAGGAGGAACACCGAUGGCGAAGGCAGCUCACUGGGACGGUACUGACGCUGAGACGCGAAAGCGUGGGGAGCGAACAGG
rnacentral:rRNA from 1 species